UACAGAGGUCUCAAGCGUUGUUCGGAUUCAUUGGGCGUAAAGGGUGCGUAGGUGGCGCCGUAAGUCAGGUGUGAAAUUUCGGAGCUUAACUCCGAAACUGCAUUUGAUACUGCGGUGCUUGAGGACUGGAGAGGAGACUGGAAUUCACGGUGUAGCAGUGAAAUGCGUAGAGAUCGUGAGGAAGACCAGUGGCGAAAGCGGCUUCCUGGUCCAGCACCGACGUUCAGGCACGAAAGCGUGGGGAGCAAACAGG
rnacentral:rRNA from 1 species